ensembl:lncRNA
CGGGGCCCGAGUCCCCGCAGCCGUUGGAGUCCUCCUGCAGGGCCUGCUUCAGGGCGCUGGUCAGGGAGCAGGGCAGGUGCCGGCGGAAGCGCUGCCCCACCCACGAGUAGAGGACCGGGUUGAGGCAGCUGUUGGCGCUGGCCAGGACGAAGGCGGGCGUGGCCAGGUCCAGCAGCCACCCGGGCUCGCGGUCGGCCAGGUUGCCGACCAGCUCCAGGAGGGUCACCAGGUGCAGGGGGAACCAGCAGCCGAAGAAGGCCGCGACCACGGCCGCGAGCACCCGGAAGGGCCGGUGGGACCGCAGGGACUGGCUCCCGGCCCUGAGGCGGGCCGCGCUGAGGCCCGAGCAGGCGCAGAUGAGGAGCAGAGGCCCCGCGAAGCCGGCCACAAAAUUGACGGCCACGUGAGCCCUGUACCUCCUCGCGGCCCGCUCGGCGCCCUCGGCCCACGGAUUGAAGUUGUUGUAACAGUAGGUGACCCCGCUCCGGGGGUGCGUGAAGGUCUGCCGGUAGGCCAGGUAGGGGCUGGAGAAGGCCGCGGCCAGGCCCCAGGCCCCGCAGGCCAUCAGCGCCAGCCGGGCCGGCGUGCGGUGGUUCCGGGCCCACAGCGGGCGCAGGAUGCAGACGCAGCGGUCGGCGGAGACCAGCGUCAGCAGGAAGACGCUGGCGAACAUGUUGAGCAUGGUGAAGACGUGGUAGAGCUUGCAGAGCGCGCGGCCGAAGGGCCAGCGGCCCGAGGCCAGAAACGCUACGUUAAUGGGCAGCAAGGCGCAGAAGGCCAGGUCGGCCACAGCCAGGUGCAGGAACCAGACUUUGGUGAUGCUCUGCGGCAUGCGGAAGCCCGUCACCCAGAUGACCAGCCCGUUGCCCGCCACCCCCAGGACGGAGAUGGCCGCAAGGAUGACCAAGAACAGGCGGUGGAGCGCCAGCCUCGCCCCGGCCGCAGGGUCUGGAGGAAGCUCCGAGGAGUUGGCUGGAGGAAGCUCCGAGGAGUUGGCUGGAGGAAGGGAGGUGGCCUCCAUGUUAUUUGUGGCUCACUUGUGGAUCGGCCAGCCGGCGUUUGUUGCCGGUGGAGGCGAGGCACGGUUCUGUAACAGAAAACCCAGAGAUAGAAAGAAGUGCUAGAGAAGAAAGAUCUAGGAACAUACUCGGCAAAGUCAUGUGGAAGUGGACCCAGAAGAAAAAGUGAGAAGCCUCAUUUGGGGCUCGGUGUGAGUCUUACCGAGUCUUGCCCGUUGAAGAUUUCCACCCACUCCCGGCUCCUGGGGACUAAGCCCAAAUCAGUCAUUUUUCUUGGGGACUGCGACAGAUCCCACGAGGCCCUCUAACAUUUCUCCCCACGUCGAGUCUACGCCCUGAAGGCUGAAAACAAACCUUUGACGCUUUUGUGUUCUCAUUUAAAGGGAGUCUGCAUGUGUGCAUGUGUAUGGUCAGUAAUUACAUACAUUUAUAUUGUAUUUUAUAGAAAAAUCAAAUAGAUACUAAAAUGAGGGGUUUUUUUCCUUUCUGGGUCCAAAUCAACUUGUAUUUGAAAUUUGUUUCUCCUUUGGGAGGUUUUCUGUUCACAUGUAAACCGUUGACCUUAGAGAGAGCAGUCUCCUUCCUAGAGAUGGAAUGGAGCCCCGGAAAGAGCCUGGAAGAUGGCAGACACAAAUCGGAGCCCUAACGUUUCUGCUGAUUGUCUGGAUGGCUUUGGGUGAGGGAUUUCUCAUCUCUGAUCUUGGGCUUCUCCAUCUGAGGGUUGGACUGGGUAAUCAGGGAAUUGGAAUCCCAGAGUAUGACCCUGGCGGAGCAGAGGUGUACCUUCCAGUUCCAUGACCAAAGCCUGUGGAUUCAGAUCUCUUUUUUUGGAGACCCCAGCUGCCAUGUUCUCCCCGCCCCUCCCUUCGCAUCUGUGCCCCAUGGCUGGCACCUGGAGCAUCCUGCCUCCCCCUCCCCAGAAUUCCCAGGGCCCCCGCUCACCCUGAAGUGCUGAUUCUACUCAGAUUGCUGAGGUCUCCUGAAGACUUUUCCUGCUGCUGCCAAAAAGAGAUGUGAACACAGGCAGGGCAGGCUCAGAUCUGAUAAAGGGACAGAAAGAGGAACUCUGACCCCAUGGUCCUGUCCUUGCUAUCUCAUGCCAUUUCCUGUGAAGAUGCUUUUUUUCCUGCAAAGAACAGACUUCAUAGGUCAGGUUUGACUACUGGAGAGAGCCUUGAACUGAGAAGAGACUCACUAUCUCCACUUUUAAUUGACUUGUCUGUUGGGACAAGUUGCUUCCUCAUUCAAAAUCAGUUCAUCAGUAAAAUGGAAAAAAAAAUCCCUAUCAUGUCUACUAUCACAGAAGGCUGUCACAAGUGUUAGCUAAGAUAACAUAUACAAUAAAGGGGUAUCAGGGUGGCAUAGUGGAUAGAAUACCUGAAAGCAGGAAAGAAAACCUGAAUUCAAACCCAAGCCUCAAACAAUGUACUGUGUGACCCUGAGUAAGUCACUUAACUUGGUUGCCUCAGUUUCCUCAUCUGUAAAAUGAGCUGGAGAAGGCAAUGGUAAACCACUCUUAGCUUUGCCAAGAAAACCCCAGAAGAGUUGGACCGGACAGAAAUGACUAAACAACAAUAGCAACAAUAUCAUAAAAUUUGAAGGAUCAAGAGCUAAAUAAAUGUUAAAUCGCCAAGUAUUAAGUGUUUACUGUGCCAGGCACUACAGGCCAGUGCUACACUGCGGGGAUAUAAAGUAAACAAAUAAACAACAAAAAAUUAAUCCUCGAACUCAAUGUGUCCACUCUAAUGUGGGAGACAACAUGAAAACAGCCAUAAACGGAUAAGAUAUAAAUGGAAUAAACUGUAGACUCUUGGAGAGAAGCAUUAAGGUUAAGAAGGAUGGGAAAGGUUUCUUGGAGCCAGUUGAACUUAAGGUGAAAUUUGAAGGGAGCAGGAAUGCCAGGGUGUGAAGAUAGAAAAGCUAAUAAAUAAAUUAAAAAACAAAAUAAAUAAAUAAUGGCAGAAAAAAUUCUAAUAUUUCUAAUUCUAAAUUCUAAUAAAGGAUAUAUGCUUAUGCCCUUGAGUGAUUUACCCCACAAAGUACCAGAGGGAAAAAUAGACCUUUAAUGAAAAAAGAGGAGUUCCGAGCAUUUCUCAUGACAAAACCAUAGCUCUAUAGAAACUUACAUUCAAAUAUGGGGAGGUGAUACAUGUGUCCUUUCUGAAUCUGAUCAUUAUCAAGGGUCAUAGAGGGAAUCUAAUUAGAAAACCUGGGAGUGAUUCUAUUAUGUCUUUGUGAGCUUAAGAGAAAAAUGGAAAGAGAAGGGGAGGGGAAUAUAUCAGAGAGAGAAGGGAAAGGAAAAUUGGGGAAAUUAUCUCAUAAUUAUGGUACACAAAGAAACAUCUAUACAAACAAGGAGGAGGAGAUGGGGGGAGCAGCUAAUUCCAUCCUCAUUCUCAUCCAAACUAGUCUAAAAAGGGAGAAAUAUAAUUGGAAACAGAAAUACAUUUUAUUCAACAGGGAAUUCAAGAAGGGAA